rnacentral:rRNA from 1 species
CCUACGGUAGGCAGCAGUGGGGAAUAUUGGACAAUGGGCGAAAGCCUGAUCCAGCCAUGCCGCGUGUGUGAAGAAGGCCUUCGGGUUGUAAAGCACUUUCAGUGGGGAAGAAAGCCUUGGGGCUAAUACCCUCGAGGAAGGACAUCACCCACAGAAGAAGCACCGGCUAACUCCGUGCCAGCAGCCGCGGUAAUACGGAGGGUGCGAGCGUUAAUCGGAAUUACUGGGCGUAAAGCGCGCGUAGGCGGUCUGAUAAGCCGGUUGUGAAAGCCCCGGGCUCAACCUGGGAACGGCAUCCGGAACUGUCAGGCUAGAGUGCAGGAGAGGAAGGUAGAAUUCCCGGUGUAGCGGUGAAAUGCGUAGAGAUCGGGAGGAAUACCAGUGGCGAAGGCGGCCUUCUGGACUGACACUGACGCUGAGGUGCGAAAGCGUGGGUAGCAAACAGGAUUAGAUACCCGUGUAGUC